rnacentral:rRNA from 1 species
UACGUAGGUGGCAAGCGUUUGUCCGGAUUUACUGGGCGUAAAGAGCGCGCAGGCGGUCGUUCAAGUCGCGUGUGAAAGCCCCCGGCUCAACUGGGGAGGGUCACGCGAUACUGAUCGACUCGAAGGCAGGAGAGGGUAGUGGAAUUCCCGGUGUAGUGGUGAAAUGCGUAGAUAUCGGGAGGAACACCAGUGGCGAAGGCGGUUCUCUGGGCCUUACCUGACGCUGAGGAGCGAAAGCGUGGGGAGCGAACAGG